rnacentral:rRNA from 1 species
CAAAGAGGGGGACAACAGUUGGAAACGACUGCUAAUACCGCAUAAGCCCACGGCUCGGCAUCGAGCAGAGGGAAAAGGAGUGAUCCGCUUUGAGAUGGCCUCGCGUCCGAUUAGCUAGUUGGUGAGGCAACGGCCCACCAAGGCGACGAUCGGUAGCCGGACUGAGAGGUUGAACGGCCACAUUGGGACUGAGACACGGCCCAGACUCCUACGGGAGGCAGCAGUGGGGAAUAUUGCACAAUGGGGGAAACCCUGAUGCAGUGACGCCGCGUGGAGGAAGAAGGUCUUCGGAUUGUAAACUCCUGUUGUUGAGGAAGAUAAUGACGGUACUCAACAAGGAAGUGACGGCCAACUCCGUGCCAGCAGCCGCGGUAAUACGGAGGAUGCGAGCGUUAUCCGGAUUUAUCGGGUUUAAAGGGAGCGCAGACGGGUCGUUAAGUCAGCUGUGAAAGUUUGGGGCUCAACCUUAAAAUUGCAGUUGAUACUGGCGUCCUUGAGUGCGGUUGAGGUGUGCGGAAUUCGUGGUGUAGCGGUGAAAUGCUUAGAUAUCACGAAGAACUCCGAUUGCGAAGGCAGCACACUAAUCCGUAACUGACGUUCAUGCUCGAAAGUGUGGGUAUCAAA